rnacentral:misc_RNA from 1 species
GAUGAAGAACGUAGCGAAAUGCGAUACGUAAUGUGAAUUGCAGAAUUCAGUGAAUCAUCGAAUCUUUGAACGCAUAUUGCGCUCUCUGGUAUUCCGGAGAGCAUGCUUGUUUGAGUAUCAGUAAACACCUCAACUUCCAUAUCUUUUUUGAAAUGGGAGUUGGACUUGAGUGAUCCCAACGCUUUUCCUCACCGAAAAGUGGCGGGUUACUUGAAAUGCAGGUGCAGCUGGACUUUUCUCUGAGCUAUAAGCAUAUCUAUUUAGUCUGCCUAAAAAACAGAUUAUUACCUUUGCUGCAGCUAACAUAAAGGAGAUUAGUUCUUGUGCUGACUGAUGCAGGAUUCACAAAGACGGCUUCGGCCGACUUUGUAAACUCGAUCUCAAAUCAAGUAAGCCUACCCGCUGAACUUAAGCAUAUCAAUAAGCGGAGGA